rnacentral:rRNA from 1 species
UACGAGCGGCCCAAACGUUGUUCGGAUUCAUUGGGCGUAAAGGGUGCGUAGGUGGCGUGGUAAGUCGGGUGUGAAAUUUCGGAGCUUAACUCCGAAACUGCAUUCGAUACUGCUGUGCUUGAGGACUGGAGAGGAGACUGGAAUUUACGGUGUAGCAGUGAAAUGCGUAGAGAUCGUAAGGAAGACCAGUGGCGAAGGCGGGUCUCUGGACAGUUCCUGACACUGAGGCACGAAGGCCAGGGGAGCAAACGGG